GAUGAAGAACGCAGCGAAAUGCGAUAAGUAGUGUGAAUUGCAGAAUUCAGUGAAUCAUCGAAUCUUUGAACGCACAUUGCGCCCUUUGGUAUUCCAAAGGGCAUGCCUGUUCGAGCGUCAUUUGUACCCUCAAGCUUUGCUUGGUGUUGGGCGUCUUGUCUCUAGCUUUGCUGGAGACUCGCCUUAAAGUAGUUGGCAGCCGGCCUACUGGUUUCGGAGCGCAGCACAAGUCGCACUCUCUAUCAGCAAAGGUCUAGCAUCCAUUAAGCCUUUUUUUCAACUUUUGACCUCGGAUCAGGUAGGGAUACCCGCUGAACUUAAGCAUAUCAAUAAGCGGAGGA
rnacentral:misc_RNA from 1 species